rnacentral:rRNA from 1 species
GGAUGAACGCUGGCGGCGUGCCUAAUACAUGCAAGUCGAGCGAACGGACGAGAAGCUUGCUUCUCUGAUGUUAGCGGCGGACGGGUGAGUAACACGUGGAUAACCUACCUAUAAGACUGGGAUAACUUCGGGAAACCGGAGCUAAUACCGGAUAAUAUUUUGAACCGCAUGGUUCAAAAGUAAAAGACGGUCUUGCUGUCACUUAUAGAUGGAUCCGCGCUGCAUUAGCUAGUUGGUAAGGUAACGGCUUACCAAGGCAACGAUGCAUAGCCGACCUGAGAGGGUGAUCGGCCACACUGGAACUGAGACACGGUCCAGACUCCUACGGGAGGCAGCAGUAGGGAAUCUUCCGCAAUGGGCGAAAGCCUGACGGAGCAACGCCGCGUGAGUGAUGAAGGUCUUCGGAUCGUAAAGCUCUGUUAUUAGGGAAGAACAUAUGUGUAAGUAACUGUGCACAUCUUGACGGUGCCUAAUCAGAAAGCAACGGCUAACUACGUG